rnacentral:rRNA from 1 species
CCUACGGGGCGCACCAGUGGGGAAUAUUGGACAAUGGGCGAAAGCCUGAUCCAGCAAUGCCGCGUGUGUGAAGAAGGCCUUCGGGUUGUAAAGCACUUUCACCGGUGAAGAUAAUGACGGUAACCGGAGAAGAAGCCCCGGCUAACUUCGUGCCAGCAGCCGCGGUAAUACGAAGGGGGCUAGCGUUGCUCCGAAUUACUGGGCGUAAAGCGCGCGUAGGCGGAUAGAUAAGUCAGAGGUGAAAUCCCGGGGCACAACCCCGGAAUUGCCUUUGAUACUGUUUAUCUUGAGUGCAGAAGAGGUAAGUGGAAUUCCGAGUGUAGAGGUGAAAUUCGUAGAUAUUCGGAGGAACACCAGUGGCGAAGGCGGCUUACUGGUCUGCAACUGACGCUGAGGCGCGAAAGCGUGGGGAGCAAACAGGAUUAGAUACCCGUGUAGUC